rnacentral:rRNA from 1 species
GACGAACGCUGGCGGCGUGCCUAAUACAUGCAAGUAGAACGCACAGUUUAUACCGUAGCUUGCUACACCAUAGACUGUGAGUUGCGAACGGGUGAGUAACGCGUAGGUAACCUGCCUGGUAGCGGGGGAUAACUAUUGGAAACGAUAGCUAAUACCGCAUAAUAUUAAUUAUUGCAUGAUAAUUAAUUGAAAGGUGCAAUUGCACCACUACCAGAUGGACCUGCGUUGUAUUAGCUAGUAGGUGAGGUAACGGCUCACCUAGGCGACGAUACAUAGCCGACCUGAGAGGGUGAUCGGCCACACUGGGACUGAGACACGGCCCAGACUCCUACGGGAGGCAGCAGGAGGGAAUCUUCGGCAAUGGACGAAAGUCUGACCGAGCAACGCCGCGGGAGGGAAGAAGGGUGUCGGAUCGUAAAGCUCUGUUGUAAGGGAAGAACGGGUGUGAGAGUGGAAAGUUCACACUGUGACGGUAUCUGACCAGAAAGGGACGGCUAACUACGUG